GGGUCAGGGGCGGACUGGAUCUGCAACGUGCUGAGAAUGCACCAGGGUCUUUGAUGGAGCCCGAAUUUGCUGCAAAAAUACGAAGAGCUAGACUUGGCAAUCCAGACCUGGGAGUCAGCUCCAUAAGGGUUACUUCACUGCAGCCUGCAGCCUGUUGCACUGCAGCAAGCAGCAAGCCCAUGUUUGGGAGAGGAAAUGAACAAACACAAAUAUCCUGCCUUCCUUCUGAGCUGAAGAGUUGAACAAGGCAAGUAGCUCUGGCAGCUCAGCUUGAGUCUGCAGCAGCACAGGGACUUGGCUUCCAUCCAUCACAUGGCAGUGUAUUUAUGAGACUGGAAAACCGAUUAAAUGAUGUCCGCAGUUCGUAGGGAAAGAGAACAUAGCAACCCAUUUCUCAAAGAGUGGCAGUUCCACAGACCUAAAGACAUUUCUAAGAGAAUAAAAAUAAA
rnacentral:lncRNA from 10 species